rnacentral:misc_RNA from 13 species
AAGGAGGUAAAAAUGGUAAAAAA